GCCCCCGUAGCUCAGUAGGACAGAGCGGCGGAUUCCUAAUCCGUAGGUCGCCCGUUCGAAUCGGGCCGGGGGCGCCA
rnacentral:tRNA from 1 species